GGUGGCUCAGUGGCAGAGUGCUUGCCUUGCAUGCAUGAGGCACUGGGUUCGAUUCCUCAGCACCA
rnacentral:tRNA from 1 species